AAUUAGUCAAAAGAGUCACAGGGCUAGCCAAGAUUCAAGGUGGUAGUACUAUACUAGGGCAUGGAUACUGAAAUUCAGCCAGAGACUCAUUACCUAUUCUUUGAUUAGGGUAGAGUCCUUGUUGCUUGAGCAUGAUUCUGUGUCUGUCAGCCAUCAAUAAAGGAAGCCAUCAAUAAAGGAAGUCAUUCAUAGUGAUAUAGAAUACGGGAUUUAUUAUAGGGAGUAGCCAUGCAAUUGUGGCAGCUGGGGAAGAAAUUUCUGUAAGGCCGCCUUGUCUGGUGACGGUCUGGAGUUGGCUCAAGUAAGCUGUUGGAGAGAAAGGAUUGACCCAAAACAGGAGAAUGGAGACAAACUAGAACAUGAGAAGAUGUUCCGCAUGAGGACAGACUGCGGUCUGUCACUUCCUCCAACCUUGACAGCCUAGGUCUUUUGCAGAAGAAGCAAUGAAAGACUGAAAGAAACAGAAGGAAGGAUGGCAGGUAGGGGAGCCAUGGGCCCAGCUGCUGCCCAUUCCCAGAAAGAGGAGCCAGCAACUUAGCAACACUGCUCACGAACUCCAAGGAUGCCUGGUGCCCACAAUGACCUUCAGAGCUUCACAUCUCCAGCUUCAUUUUCCUUUCUGAAUCUCCCACGAACUUCUUUUUUGGUCAUCUCUACACCAGAAAAAUACAGUGAAGGAGAUUCUGGCAUUACAAAUUUCACAUGAGUUCUUUCAGCAGCAGGGAUGCCAGUCUGACUCCAGACCACAAGAGUAUCUGGGCCAUGCGUGGGAAAUACGUCAGCACCAGUGUGCAUGGUUGGGAAGAACAAGUGUGGCCUAAUACUGCUCACACUGACACAGGUGGGCUACUUCUUCAUCACUGGAGCCACAUGUCAACUAUUCCCACCCAAUUCACACACAGAGAGAGAGGCAGAGACAUAGGCAGAGGGAGAAGCAGGCUCCAUGCACCGG